AUCAUCCCAUAAGUUCUUGGUUCUGUUCAUUUCACUUAGCAUAUGUUUACUUUCAGGGGAGAGGAUGACCACAGACUGAAGGAUAGAUCUAAACCCUGAUCCGGCUAGAAUUUGAGGGUUCUGUUUGUUUAAGGCAGAACCAACAUGAAGAUUGGCUGAGGAUCAUAAAAGAGAAAUGCUGGAAGGAAGGGAUGUUGGAAAACUGGCACACUGAUACAUUGUUGGUGAAAUUGUGAACUGAUUCUACCAUUCUGGAGAGCAAUUUGGAACUAUGUACAAAGGGCUAUCAAACUCUGUAUAUCCUUUGAUUCAGCAAUGUUUCUACUGAGUAUUUCAUAAAAAUCAUAAAAAGGGAAAAGGACCCACAUGUGCAAAAAGGUUUGUGGCAGCCCUUUUUGUAGGGGUGAGGGAUUGGAACCCAGGAAGAUGCCCAUCACUUGGGGAAUGGCUGAAUAAAUUAUGGGAUAUGAAUGUGAUAGAAUAUUAUUGUUCUAUAAGAAAUGAUCAGCAGAGAGGCCUGGGGAGACUUACAGGAACUGGCUAAGUGAAGCGAGUAGAACCAGGAGAACAUCGUACACAGUAAUAACAAGAUUAUGUGAUGAUCAAUUGUGAUGGACAUGGCUCUUUUUAACAAUGAGGGGACUCAGGGGAAUCCCAAUAAGGGAGAGAGCCAUCUGCAUCCAGAGAGAUUAUGGAGACUGAAUGCAGAUCACAACAUAGUAUUUUCACCUUUGUUGUUUUUGUGGCUCGCUUGUUUAUCUUUUUUCUCUCAUUUUCCCACCCUUUGAUCUGAUUUUUUCUUAUGCAGCAUGAUAAAUGUGAAAAUAUAUUUAGAAGAAUUAAUUGCACAUGUUUAAUCUAUCUUGGAUUAUUUACUGUCUAGGGGAGUAGGGAGGAGGGGUGGAAGGAAGAAAAAUUCAGAACACAAAGUUUUGCAGAGAUGAAUGUUGAAACUAUCUUUGCAUGUAUUUUGAAAAAAAACACCUAUUAUUUAAAAAAAGUUUCAUGUUUUUAUGUGUUAAUUU
rnacentral:lncRNA from 1 species